GACGGUACUUGAGGAAUAAGCCACGGCUAACUCCGUGCCAGCAGCCGCGGUAAUACGGGAGUGGCAAGCGUUAUCCGGAAUUAUUGGGCGUAAAGCGUCCGCAGGCGGCCCUGUAAGUCUGUCGUUAAAGCGUGGAGCUCAACUCCAUUUCAGCGAUGGAAACUACAGGGCUUGAGUGUGGUAGGGGCAGAGGGAAUUCCCGGUGUAGCGGUGAAAUGCGUAGAUAUCGGGAAGAACACCAGUGGCGAAGGCGCUCUGCUGGGCCAUAACUGACGCUCAUGGACGAAAGCCAGGGGAGCGAAAGGGAUUAGAUACCCCUGUAGUCCUGGCCGUAAACGAUGAACACUAGGUGUCGGGGGAAUCGACCCCCUCGGUGUCGUAGCCAACGCGUUAAGUGUUCCGCCUGGGGAGUACGCACGCAAGUGUGAAACUCAAAGGAAUUGACGGGGGCCCGCACAAGCGGUGGAGUAUGUGGUUUAAUUCGAUGCAACGCGAAGAACCUUACCAGGGUUUGACAUCCUGCGAACCCCCUGGAAACGGGGGGGUGCCUUCGGGAACGCAGUGACAGGUGGUGCAUGGCUGUCGUCAGCUCGUGUCGUGAGAUGUUGGGUUAAGUCCCGCAACGAGCGCAACCCACGUCGUUAGUUGCCAGCAUUCAGUUGGGCACUCUAGCGAGACCGCCGGUGAUAAACCGGAGGAAGGUGUGGAUGACGUCAAGUCAUCAUGCCCCUUACAUCCUGGGCUACACACGUACUACAAUGCUACGGACAAAGGGCCGCAAGCUCGCGAGAGUUAGCAAAUCCCAUAAACCGUGGCUCAGUUCAGAUCGUAGGCUGCAACUCGCCUACGUGAAGGAGGAAUCGCUAGUAAUCGCAGGUCAGCAUACUGCGGUGAAUACGUUCCCGGGCCUUGUACACACCGCCCGUCACACCAUGGAAGUUGGCCACGCCCGAAGUCGUUACUCCAACCCUUGUGGAGGAGGACGC
rnacentral:rRNA from 1 species